UACGAAGGGGGCUAGCGUUGCUCGGAAUCACUGGGCGUAAAGGGUGCGUAGGCGGGUCUUUAAGUCAGGGGUGAAAUCCUGGAGCUCAACUCCAGAACUGCCUUUGAUACUGAAGAUCUUGAGUCCGGGAGAGGUGAGUGGAACUGCGAGUGUAGAGGUGAAAUUCGUAGAUAUUCGCAAGAACACCAGUGGCGAAGGCGGCCUACUGGUCCAUCACUGACGCUGAGAUGCGAAAGCGUGGGGAGCAAACAGG
rnacentral:rRNA from 1 species